GGGGUCGGACACAAAAUCGACUACUUCUAUAUGAAAUGUGUUAUUUUGGUAAUCAUGUGUACUGAGAUCCUGCCGAUAUUGGGUUCACCGAUACGAUACCGAUUUUAAUAGUUAGGUUGAUAUGCACAUGUUCAACCAAAUUCCCCUUGUUCUUAAUCCACUAUUUUUUAUUUUAAGGGAUGAAUUCAGACGGAUGUAUUUUAUUUUUAGUGAUAGGCUAUAUUGUGUCAGAAUAGCAUUAUUUAUUCAGAAAAUAAUAUUCAAGGCUCCGACAUUUUUGACUUGAUAAUCAUAUGGUUUAAUAGACUCUAUAAGACAGGUCAAAACACCCAGCUUUCACAGCUUUAACCCCCCGAUCUUAAAGAUGACUGCUAGUCAUAACUCAAUGAACAUUUACUGUUUUCCAAAUGAAUGAAAGAUGUCACAGAGGUCAUCGUUUUGGCAGGAUUUAAAAAAGGACAGAAACAAAGUCUGCAGUCAUAUAAUUUAAAAGCUUUAGGCCUUAGUUAUUUCUUUAAUUUUGCCUGCAAUGCUACAUCAACAUUCGUGUUUAACGCUCCAUAGCUUGCAUGUGACCAUAUCAGAAUUGGCACCUUGGCCCGCAUCACUGCGGCAUCUGUUUGGAUCCAUUGUAUUAAAAACAGAAUAAACCUAGUGUCUAAUCUCCCGACGUGUUGUCUUUCAACUACGCAACGCUGUCCAGCGCGGCGCUCUGUGUCUCGCCUGGUGCGACGCACCACACGUCGAAGCUCUGCUGUAACCGAGUGGGACUCACACCGAGAGAGGAUGUGAGACAAAAUGACUUCACAGCACUUCACGAUAUGUUGGAAGAGUAGAGAUAAUGCAGAUUAAGUUAAUCUAGAGAUAACGUGCACAGAUCUUUUACUUCCCCAUCAACCAAUCUAAUGGUAGAGUUGGUCAGAUUUGAGUCUACCAAUCUUUUCUUCGGUUACCCAAAACCCUAGAAAAUAAAUACACUGGUUCCUGACUUAUUUAACUAUAGGCUGACAACACAAAUGGCAGAUAACAACAUACUGCAACCGCAACACUGAAUGAACGCCUGCCGGGGACUUAACCACUCUGGUGCUCCAAGAAGAAACCCCAGACCGUGCUUAUUUUGCGCUCAAUAGAGAAAGAAAUAAAGUGAAAAAAAAAGAAUCUGCUGUCAAGGCUUAUACAUAUAAAUAUAAUACAAUACAUAGGGCCCAAGUUUGUUACGUUUCCAGCAUUUUAUUGCAUGAGCUAGUUUGGAACUACCCCUGAAUUCCACAGAAGGAACUGUUAGUAAAACUGCCCGCUUCCUACUCUGCGCAGCCAACUGAGGACACUGCCGGCCAACAUCGGCAGACAUUAUUGCCAUCCGAUAUAUUGGUCAGGCUCACUACGCAAAAUGGCUGACAGGGAAGAUGCUGUUUUUACUUUUGAAGCACAAGGACAAACACCUGCUGCAUCAGUAUCAUUAUCAACUGUUAUUCAGUGUUGACAUCUCAAAGAUUUACCUUGUAAAUGUAUGUGGUAAGAAGCAUUAAAAACAUACUCUUAAAGGGAUACUUCACCCAUUCAAAACCGGCGUUCUAUCAUUCUAAAAUCGCUAUUGUAAUAUAAAAAAUAUUUUUUGCCAGUCUUACCCAGUCUUCCCAUGGCCCAGCUUUCCUGAUCUAAUUUUCUCCCGAGAUGAGGUCAAAUGACGCGUUUGACGUCAUCACGGGAGAACUUUGCUUGCCUGCUAGAAGAGCCGAGGACUACAAGCCACUGGUUCCGCAAAUUUGUGAGCCCACCAACAAGGAAUGAGGGGGGGGGGGGGGGGAGCUUGCGUAUGAGAUGUAAACACAAUGUCCGUCAUGUUUCUUUCCCGCGAGAACAAAUUUGCAAUGUGAAACAGCCAAAUUGAAUUUUGAAAUCUAUUGUUGGAUUUGGACAUUCAGGGCUAUUAGUACGAGCCAGAAUACAGCCAGGAAGAAUUGACACGAAUAGAGGAGGAGGCUGCUGCGGCUGCAGCUGAAUAAAACUUGCCUGUUGCCGAGGACGAGGAGCCGGAGCGCGCCGGUUUGCUCUGUUCGCCUAUAGACACAACACAGAGUCCCUGUGCUGCAGCGAAUUUCAGCGAUGCCAGUUUCUUCUAGAAUAAAUGGCUGAAUCUGGCGAGGAUGGGGCCAUGUGUGUAACCUCUCACCCAGGCUUCACGCCUCAUCAGAACAGUUGGGUAUUGGAUACAUAUUUCCGGACCCAGAAAGUGAACUGGAAACGCCAGCCAAAGCCCGCCGGGAGAAACAGACGCCUGAUUAUAGAACAGUAUCAGCUUCCUGUGUUGUCCAGGCCAUCAGAGCUAAUUAGCCAGCACAAGAUGGACAGUACUGUUGCUACCAGGAGACAGUAGAUGCUCAAGAUGAGCUGGGACUAUUUUGACUCAAGCAAACGCACCCUACACGUUUUAUUUUUGUAAAUAGUUCACAUUUUUUCAUGAAUAAAACUUCAAAUUCA